CACGUAGUUAGCCGGGGCUUCUUAGUCAGGUACCGUCUUGUCUCGUUCCUGCUGAUAGAGCUCUACAUACCGAAAUACUUCUUCACUCGCGCGGCGUCGCUGCAUCAGGGUUUCCCCACUUGUGCAAUAUUCCCCACUGCUGCCUCCCGUAGGAGUUUGGGCCGGUGUCUCAGUCCCAAUGUGGCCGUCCACCCUCUCAGGCCGGCUACUGAUCGUCGCUUUGGUAGGCCGUUACCCUGCCAACUGGCUAAUCAGACGCGGGUCCAUCCCAUACCACCGGAGUUUUUCACACAGGAGCAUGCGCUCCCGUGCGCUUAUGCGGUAUUAGCACCUGUUUCCAGGUGGUAUCCCCCGGUAGUGGGGCGAGGUUACCCACGCGUUACUCACCCGUCCGCCACUAAGAUACAUCCUUCCGGAAUGCAAGCACUCCUUCUAAUGCAUCCCCGUUCGACUUGCAUUCGUGUUAACGCUACCGCCCGCCAGGUCCGUUCAACUCCGUAGACGU
rnacentral:rRNA from 1 species